UUCCUUCAUUUUUUUCCUUUACACAUCUCUCUGAAAAAAUCGGGUGACACACCCAGCAGCCAGGGUUCCCACCACCACCGCCGCCCCCUCGCCCUCGGCCUCCUCCGUCGCCACUUUCUCCGCUCGCUGGUGAAACAGACUGCGUCGCCGCCCAUCCUCCUGCGCCGGGGAAGGCGUCACGGCCACCCAUCCUCCCGCGCCAGGGAAGGCGUCGCGGCUGCCCAUCCUCCCGCGCCAGGGAAGGCGCUGCCGCCGCCCAUCCUCCUGCGUCGGAGAAGGCGUCGCAGCCGCCGUUCCUUCGCGUGACCAGAGAUGCAAUCGUUGUCGUUGUUCGUCCGCACAGCUAGGAAUGAAGCACGUACUAACGCACCCAUCAUCCUAAACUGUAGCAGUUCAACAGGUCUUAUUCUGUCCCUCCCGCAUCUGCAAUUCUUUACUGGUAUCCCUUAAGGCUUUGUUCAGUUUGGUUUAUUCCCCAAAGGGAACCAAUUAACACAGGGAUUGAGUGGAUUCCUGCAUCUCACUCAGAUCCGUUUUGGUAUUGAAUCCCUUGCAUCAACUAUUCCCCUUGAUCUAAAUAUUGUCGGUUAUAUAUAAGGUUUGAGAGGGAUUGAUUAUUAUAUCAUGAUUGUAGAUAACAAAACACAGAGAUUUCAAGCAGGUCUCCUAUCAUCAACAGUUUUCAAGCACCAGUGUACGUCUAGAUCCCAAUAAUGCAUCAUCACAUUGCUUUUACUAGACAACUACAUGUUUGUUUGCCAUGACUAUUUUAAUAAUAAAGCAAAAGCUUAUUUGCUUGUUGCUUCCCUAUUUAAAUCUUCACUGGAAAGGCAUUACACAGUUACUAAUAAGCAGAGUAUACUCUUAAUAAGUAUGUGUGGUAAUCAACUCUGAUCAAUACUAAGUCGAUUUCAGAAAUCUGGAAAACAGAAAAACCAAAUCCAUGCCCACAACAACUAUUAAUCGGUGAGGAGAAUUUCACAAUACAGCCCUAGAUAGGAUGUAGCAGGAAACAGGGAUCAGGAACUGUCUCAAUCUAACCCUUGCCUACAACUUAAGAAGAGAAGAAGCAAGAUAAGGGAGACGAACCGGAGAGAAGAAGAAAAUGGCCACUGCGUCGCCGUCGCUACCGCCGGAGAGAUAGCCGCCCCAUCCCUAUCACAUCUGCCUUGCAGUGCAGCCUCACAGCACUAUGUUCCUGUCCAAUCCACAUCUUAUUUCCAUGCAUGAAUGUCUAACGCAAGGAGAAGACCCUCUAGCCUCUACGAGCGCUUGCCCAAGCUAGCAUCACCGGCAGCAACUACGCAAUCAUGUCCUUACCCCCAGCCCCUGAAACCUCUCACCAACGUGUACUUCCUCCCAUCUUAUCCUCAUGAAGGUUCAAAGUGCCAACCAACGAUUCUCUUCCAUCUUUUUCAUAAUUGGUGGGCUAAUCUUCUAAUGUUUUGCCCCCAGCAAUUGAUUCCUCACAAAAUUUACGUCCCUGUUUUGCCUCCUACUCACCCUAAUUCAUGUGGAGCUAGCAACUUAAAUAUGGAAUGGAACAAUUCGUAAGUGCCAUUAAUUACAGUUUGUACGUACAGUUUUGCUUCUUCAUUUUCCUAUGUGAUAACUUUACCUCAGCUCAUUGAUUUCAGGCGCUCUUUAAAAUUAUAACAAGAGGAUAUAGAAUGAGGUAUAUGUGAUAUUUCAGUUUUUGUUCUUUCAAUUGUUUUCGUCUUACCUCUAAUUUAUUUCUUUAUUCUAUAGCUCCUUUUAUUUCCUCGUUGAACUUGAACCACAUGUGGACCAGUAUGUGCACGCCUCAUUGCAUUGAUAUUUGUAAUAGGGAGAUAUUGUCCCUCUUGCAUUGUAACAAAUAAAUCAUGGUAUCUGUGUUUGGCUCACGGCUCACCUACCUUUGAUUGUACACGUGAUAUUUUUUUGGAAAUCUGUUGUAUAAUACACUAAUGCUUUUCACAAUUUUUGUUUUAGUGAGUAACUACAUAUUUGGUAGCUAGAUUGUCCACUUCCGACAAUUGGAUAUUAGACGUCUAAUUGUACGCGCACUCCAGACCAUUCUAUAAAUCAGGUAUGCCUAAUAUUUCUUUGAAAUGACUACAUGGUUGUGUCCAUGGAGCCAUGUGCUACUUUCAAGUGCGGGGUAAUAAGCCGGUACGUAACAAUACCCUUGAUGUUGCAUGCUAUUUGGGCACUAUGUGUGUCACAUGGCUUGGUUUAAGCAUUCAGUAUUACAUAGGCAUUGCCUUGGUUAUCGAAAAUAGUUUAGAUGUAUCAUCGUUUGCUUAAAUUUGGCUAGAGUUGAGAUGAAAUCUCCUAGCUAUGAGAUAACAUAGUAUACAAAGUGUUCUGCACUAGAUUAGAUAGGGUGGUGAUCUACUUUUCUUUCUGUUCAGGAUUUCAGUUUGGUUGCAUCUUGCCAUGUCUUAUUGGAGAGAACAUGUAGCCAUCAGUUGAUAACUCAAAUUAUCCCGAAUAUGGUGAUGCUUUUUUUUUUGUGUUGUUGCUUCUGGGGGUUUUGAUAAUUUUAUUCAUGGAUCAGGAAAUUAUAAUUUGUGACUUUGUAAUUUUCAGGUAAUUACGAAAUUUUGCAUGAUGCAGAUUAUUUAAAGAUUUUCAAGUUGUUGGCAAUGAGAUUUCUUCUUAUACACCAUAGAAAGAAUGACUAAUGAAUCAUCCCAAGAUGAGUAGUACGGGAGUAAUGUGCAGACCUCUUGACAAUGGAGAUGUUCCAUUUUGUAAUAGUUGAUACUAUUGGUUGUCAUUAUUCAGUUGCUGAAGUCAUCUCGUAGUUAUUAUAAUAUAUUGUUUGGAUAUUUUUUAGUAGUAAAUACAAGCUGAUAGUUAUUCAUAAUGAACAGCCAGAUCUGAUUCAUCAAAGGUGUCUAUUUUUCUAUGCAGAUUCUUAUCUCAAUGAGCCAUGGAUAUUCAAAACGUGUGCAGACAGUUCUAUGGUCACCAAGAUAAAAUGAUGAUGCAUGGCUCAGAUGUUGAUUGCAAGGUUAAGAAUUGGAGCUACUACAAGAUAAUUAGAAUGCCAAUUUUAGGAUUAAUGUUUCAAACAUUAUAGUUGAUUGCAAGGUCAAGAAUUGGGCCACUACAAGAUAUAGUUUAACCUCCUGUAAUCUUUGGAUCAUGUUUUUUGUAAUGCAACAUAGUGAUAUAAUAUAUGAUAUCUUUCUAUUUGUUA